UGCUUGCGAGCCGUGGAGGAGCUUUGAGUGCAAGCAUUGGCCGCUUACACUGCCGCUCAACUGUUUGCGCCCUUCCGGCGUGAACAGCCGGAAAAACUUAACAUUUUCAAUGUCGUGCGAAAGUCUGGAGGACACACUGCGGUGAGCUAGAGUUAAAAAAAUGAUGAAAUUUCGCGUUCGCAUUCACACUAACUGAGUAACGGGUAUCUGAUAGUCGUCAGAGAACUCGACUAUAGCAUUACCUCUUGUUUUGGCAUCGACAUGACAUAAAAGCAUACAUUAAUGACUGUGAGACCUGUAAGUCGACGAAGUCGCCGAAUCAUGUUUUCAGGCCACCUGUACACAAUCCACUUCCGCUAGCUGUAUACAAUCAAUAUCGUAGGCGAUCAUGGCGAUCUCGCUCCAGAAAUAAUGUAAACAAAAGGACAGUAUAAGAAAGAUUUUUGUCACUUACAUUUAGUCAUAAAAUUAGAUCAAAAGAAUAAAGACGUGAAAACUA